rnacentral:rRNA from 1 species
UACGGAGGGUGCUAGCGUUGUUCGGAAUUACUGGGCGUAAAGGGCGCGUAGGCGGCCGUUUGCGUCGGAUGUGAAAGCCCGGGGCUCAACCUCGGAACGGCAUUCGAUACGGGACGGCUGGAGACCGGGAGGGGAGAGUGGAAUAGCCAGUGUAGAGGUGAAAUUCGUAGAUAUUGGCUGGAACACCGGUGGCGAAAGCGGCUCUCUGGCCCGGUUCUGACGCUGAGGCGCGAAAGCGUGGGGAGCAAACAGG